rnacentral:rRNA from 1 species
GAUGAACGCUGGCGGCGUGCCUAAUACAUGCAAGUCGAGCGAACAGACGAGGAGCUUGCUCCUCUGACGUUAGCGGCGGACGGGUGAGUAACACGUGGAUAACCUACCUAUAAGACUGGGAUAACUUCGGGACACCGGAGCUAAUACCGGAUAAUAUAUUGAACCGCAUGGUUCAAUAGUGAAAGACGGUUUUGCUGUCACUUAUCGAUGGAUCCGGGCGGCAUUGGCUAGUUGGUAAGGUAACGGCUUACCAAGGCAACGAUGCGUAGCCGACCUGAGAGGGGGAUGGGGCACACAGGAGGUGAGCGGCCGUCCAGGCACCUACGGGAGGCAGCAGUAGGGAAGCUUCCGAAAUGGGCGAAAGCCUGACGGAGCAACGCCGGGUUGAUGAUGAAGGUCUGCGGAUCGGAAAACGGUGUUAUUGGGGAAGAACAAAUGUGUAAGUAACUAUGCGCGUCUGGACGUUACCGAAACAGAAAGCCACGGCAAAUUACUG